UAAAAAGCAAUGAAGAGACGAGUAGAUAAUUUUAUUCUUUCAGUGAAUUAGCGUUAGUGAGAAGCUAGUAGACCCUGAAUUAUCGAAUAACACUUUUCCGCUGUGCUGCUAGCCUAAAUUAAAGUAAGCUACGCCGUCAUCGGUACGUUAUCAAGCCGAAGAGCAUGAUUGUGUUCUAUUAAGCUGGUCUAUUUUUAGACAAUUUAGGUGGUACCGCGGAAAAAAGCCUUUCGUCCUGAGA
rnacentral:ncRNA from 1 species